rnacentral:rRNA from 2 species
AGAGUUUGAUCCUGGCUCAGAUUGAACGCUGGCGGCAGGCCUAACACAUGCAAGUCGAGCGGAAACGGCAGUAUUGAAGCUUCGGUGGAUUUACUGGACGUCGAGCGGCGGACGGGUGAGUAACGGCUGGGAACCUGCCCUGACGAGGGGGAUAACCGUUGGAAACGACGGCUAAUACCGCAUAAUGUCUUAGUUCAUUACGAGCUGGGACCAAAGGUGGCCUCUACAUGUAAGCUAUCGCGUUGGGAUGGGCCCAGUUAGGAUUAGCUAGUUGGUAAGGUAAUGGCUUACCAAGGCAACGAUCCUUAGCUGGUUUGAGAGGAUGAUCAGCCACACUGGGACUGAGACACGGCCCAGACUCCUACGGGAGGCAGCAGUGGGGAAUAUUGCACAAUGGGGGAGACCCUGAUGCAGCUAUGCCGCGUGUGUGAAGAAGGCCUUCGGGUUGUAAAGCACUUUCAGCAGUGAGGAAGGUUGUGUACUUAAUACGUGCACGGCUUGACGUUAGCUGCAGAAGAAGCACCGGCUAACUCCGUGCCAGCAGCCGCGGUAAUACGGAGGGUGCGAGCGUUAAUCGGAAUUACUGGGCGUAAAGCGCAUGCAGGCGGUUUGUUAAGUCAGAUGUGAAAGCCCGGGGCUCAACCUCGGAACCGCAUUUGAAACUGGCAGGCUAGAGUCUUGUAGAGGGGGGUAGAAUUUCAGGUGUAGCGGUGAAAUGCGUAGAGAUCUGAAGGAAUACCAGUGGCGAAGGCGGCCCCCUGGACAAAGACUGACGCUCAGAUGCGAAAGCGUGGGUAGCAAACAGGAUUAGAUACCCUGGUAGUCCACGCCGUAAACGCUGUCUACUUGGAGGUUGAGGUUUUAGACUUUGGCUUUCGGCGCUAACGCAUUAAGUAGACCGCCUGGGGAGUACGGCCGCAAGGUUAAAACUCAAAUGAAUUGACGGGGGCCCGCACAAGCGGUGGAGCAUGUGGUUUAAUUCGAUGCAACGCGAAGAACCUUACCUACUCUUGACAUCCAGCGAAGCCUUUAGAGAUAGAGGCGUGCCUUCGGGAGCGCUGAGACAGGUGCUGCAUGGCUGUCGUCAGCUCGUGUUGUGAAAUGUUGGGUUAAGUCCCGCAACGAGCGCAACCCUUAUCCUUGUUUGCCAGCACGUAAUGGUGGGAACUCCAGGGAGACUGCCGGUGAUAAACCGGAGGAAGGUGGGGACGACGUCAAGUCAUCAUGGCCCUUACGAGUAGGGCUACACACGUGCUACAAUGGCAGAUACAGAGGGCAGCGAGACAGCGAUGUUUAGCGAAUCCCUUAAAGUUUGUCGUAGUCCGGAUUGGAGUCUGCAACUCGACUCCAUGAAGUCGGAAUCGCUAGUAAUCGUGGAUCAGAAUGCCACGGUGAAUACGUUCCCGGGCCUUGUACACACCGCCCGUCACACCAUGGGAGUGGGCUGCACCAGAAGUAGAUAGCUUAACCUUCGGGAGGGCGUUUACCACGGUGUGGUUCAUGACUGGGGUGAAGUCGUAACAAGGUAACC